rnacentral:lncRNA from 1 species
AGUCCAGCACGUCAGCACACUCGAGUCUGUCCCCUUGACAACACUACUUCUCCGGUGUCCUGAGUUUAGCUUUGUUUUGGGGUCAGUCAAACACGGAGCACUUUUCGCCGUGUCUGCGGACAGGUUUAGUGGAUUUACGCUGUGUCCAAGGAAACGGAAGAUUAGAAGCUGAUGCUGUUGAGGUGAUUCCUGAACCAUUCCGAGUCCAUCUCUCUUCCUCGGCUCUGUCUCUACAUGUGCCCAGGGAAGCACAGAUAUAGCAGAAGGCCACUGUGCUGACAGACUUGGUGACAUCAGGAACUCCUGCCUU